GGAUGAAGAACGUAGCGAAAUGCGAUAAGUAAUGUGAAUUGCAGAAUUCAGUGAAUCAUCGAAUCUUUGAACGCACAUUGCGCCCCUUGGUAUUCCGAGGGGCAUGCCCGUUCGAGCGUCAUUAUACCCCUCAAGCCUAGCUUGGUGUUGGGGCCUGCUGUUACCGGCAGCCCUUAAAAUCAGUGGCGGUGCCAUCUGGCUCUAAGCGUAGUAAUACUUCUCGCUACAGGGUCCCGGUGGAUGCUUGCCAUCAACCCCUAAUUUUCUAUGGUUGACCUCGGAUCGGGUAGGGAUACCCGCUGAACUUAAGCAUAUCAAUAAGCGGAGGA
rnacentral:misc_RNA from 1 species